CGUGGCCGUCCCCUUCGCCGUGGGAUGCGGGGAUUUGGGGCGGCUGAAGGAGUCGGGGCCCCCACCACCUCAGCGCUGCUGCCCUCACAGGGGCCGGGCCUCCCCGAGCCUCCAGUGCUUGUUGAGGUUUCAGUCUCCAUUCUGCUGAUCCGAAAGAAAGAAGGCGGCUUUUGGAGGACUUAAUCAUGGCGAGUCGAGCUGCUGCUGAACCUCCCCUUCCAACAUCCAGCAGGUUUGUUCUGCAGGUCCCAAUGAUGGCACAGGCAUGAAAGAGCCCAGAGCUCGUCGCUGGGGAGAGGCUGCGUAUGGCGUUGUGAAGGGAGAGAUGGAGGAGGGGUUUGAGCAGCGCUGUGCAGGAAUGAACGGCUGGCAGGAGUCGGGCAGCGGUACUGCAGCUCCUCUGGCAGCUUUGCAGCUCAGCUGGGAAGCAGAAGAUGUGGAU
rnacentral:lncRNA from 1 species